rnacentral:rRNA from 1 species
CCAGACUCCUACGGGAGGCAGCAGUGGGGAAUAUUGCACAAUGGGGGAAACCCUGAUGCAGCGACGCCGCGUGAGCGAUGAAGUAUUUCGGUAUGUAAAGCUCUAUCAGCAGGGAAGAAGAUGACGGUACCUGACUAAGAAGCCCCGGCUAACUACGUGCCAGCAGCCGCGGUAAUACGUAGGGAGCGAGCGUUAUCCGGAAUUAUUGGGUGUAAAGGGUGCGUAGGCGGUUUGAUAAGUCAGUGGUGAAAGCCUAGAGCUUAACUCUAGUAAGCCAUUGAAACUGUCGAACUUGAGUAUGGUAGAGGCAAGCGGAAUUUCUAGUGUAGCGGUAAAAUGCGUAGAUAUUAGAAGGAACACCAGUGGCGAAGGCGGCUUGCUGGGCCAAGACUGACGCUGAGGCACGAAAGCGUGGGGAGCAAAUAGGAUUAGAUACCCCUGUAAC